CUGGCGGCGGACGACACCCUCGCCAACCCGGUCAGGUCCGGAAGGAAGCAGCCGUAAGCGGGGCGUGACGGGUGCCGCAGGGGU
rnacentral:SRP_RNA from 1 species